UAAUAAUAAUAAUAAUAAUAAUAUCUAGAAUGAUAUAUAAUAUACUUUCCACGGGUAGGGUUACAAGAACCAUUCAAUCUUGACUCAAGUUACACAUGUACUGUAGUUGCAUGGUAAAUGAGAAAAUUAAGAGAUUUUACCUAUUAAAGUAGGUCUUCUUAAAACUCUUUAUGUGACUCAUUUUCAGAGCACAACUACCGAAAAGUGCAGUACACACCAUAAGCAGCCAGAAGUCUCUGAAAAAAAUGUUUAAGACAGGAGCAAAUUACCACUCAUCCGAGAGUUCACUUGGCACCCAAAAUCCAGUGUAAAGAAAGACUCAGUAGUUUUGGUAGUGUUGUAGCAGAGAAGUGAGCCAAGUCCGAAAAUCAUAAACCGAAGUCAAGCCAAAAGUUCAAAAGCCAAAAUACAAAUGAGAGCUGUAAACACACGGCAAAAGUCGUAAACCAAAAGUGCGCAUACGCAGAAAGUCCGAAAGUCGAAAGAUUGAACUCCAAUAACGAGAUCGGGGAGAACAGCAAAUGUCUAACUGGUAUCGAGCAUGUUUGAGAACUGACCAGCUUGCCACAGAACCUGUAUGGGUUUUUGUAUUGGAGCAAAUCCAAGUUUCCGCAAAGUUGGGACCAGUGGCCCCAGCACGCCAUCCUACCACAGCACCUCCCACAGGAGACCCUGGGAUAGAAGGUAGUGGGCUUUCUCCAAGUCAACAAAACAUGUGCACAGGCAUGGCAACCUCCCCACGCCUCAUCAAACAUCACAGGGAUGAUGUUUCCAGACGUACAGUAGAUCCCAAACAUUGGGAAGACCAUGUUUUCUCUUCUGCUGCUCUAAGGCUGUGGAAUAAUCUUCCAGCCAUUGUUACAUCAUAGAGUACCAUGCCUUGAGAUACUGUCAUUAGAGACAUCGGAAAAAUAGACCAUUUUUAUUACUACUCCUACUGUGAAGAUGAUGAUGUAUAGCCUAUGAGAGGUACAUUAAAUUGUAAAUGGCAUGUUUAAAAUAGCACAAUAUAAGAAGCCUUUAGAGCCUGUGUAAAAGAAUUAAAAAUCUUUGACAGCAUUUUCAUACUGUACCUUCCACCCUAAAACUGCCUUUGUUCAAAACAAAACAAUAGAAUAGACCAAAAAAACAAAGUACAGUAUCUGCAAACCCUAUUGUCACACUUUAUUAUGUUUCUUGCUAUUCCACUUAGGGUUUUGUUUUUUCUAAUUAGCUAAACUAAAAGCGCUCUGUGUGCUAAAACUAUUAUCUUUGAUCAGGUGACUAUUCAAGCAUUUUAUUAAAUUCCCUGAUUGAAUUGCUAAAUCUGAGACAAGCUACAUCAAUAAUUUCUGAACAGUGUUAACAUUUGAAUCUUGCCAUAAAUAAUUACAGUUUUAAACAGUGCCAAAUCACACUUUAAAAGUAAUCAGCUAGAGCUAAUGCAAUUAAAUUCUUUUAGUGCUCCUGUGUGAAAGUCUGAACAACACAUACAGUCCCUUCAAUUAUAAACUAUUCUAGCGCAGUGACAUCAGCUGGUCUGACAGGGUCGCAUGUCUGUUUCUUUGUUUUCAAGAGCUGUUUUCUUUUCCUUCAGAUCUCUUUACUUUUGCCUUUCACUUUUAUCUGCGGGAGUGCUGAUGAGGUGUAAAUGAGGAUUUAAUUGGUACAGCCCCCUAUGCUUUUAUAAAUGUUUGAAGUUUACCCUUGUCA